AUGGUGACCGACAUCGGAGGAAGUUGGAUGAACUAUUGCAUAGUUCUUCCGGCGGUAGAGGAGGCACUGCGAUCUUCUGGAAUAGAGAGCUUGUCUCUGGAAACUAUCCAACGAGCCUGGCAGCAACCCGCUACCCAGUCAUGCGUGUUUCAUAGAAUCAAGACGAGGCUCGAGAGGGUGGACAAGGACCUUAAGAUCUCGAGCAACAGCCUGUUCAGCGACACCGAAACUCAGUUCCUCCUUGCAACCGUAAUAAUCCUAAGACUAGAUGUAGCAAUGGAAAAGCGUCAGUUAACUCCGGUUGAGUUCGGUUUUAGAAAACUUUUGAAGCAGAGAGUUGUUGGUCUGGAUGCUGUAGAAAGAGCUAGGCGAUGCCAAGCCUCUCAGAUAACUUGGUUAAAAGUAGGUAAUGCAAACAUUGCGUUCUUCAACGCCAAAACAAACUCCAGGAAGAGAAAAAACUUCAUUCAAUCUCUGAAGACAAACAACCAUGUUGCAACAGAGCAUGAUGAUAAGGCCAACAUCAUCUAUGAGCAUUUCAACAAGAUCAUGGGCUCGAACCCGCUUGCUUAUCUUCUAUGA
rnacentral:rRNA from 1 species